AGACAUCCAGUAUAAAAGCUACGUUUGAGGCCGGAGUAGGCAGCAGUCCCAGUCGUCUGUCGAAAGAGACAGGAUGGAGUUCUUAAGGGCCUUGUGUCUCCUCUGUCUAGCUCAGAGCGUACGUGGAGAGACGACCGUGGAUGAAAACAUCUAUAACGAGAGGCGACAGGCCUUCACUGAACCACCUUUUCGUGACUUUCAUAAAUUUAGUGAAGCUACGACUCCAGACUAUAACAUCUACAACGAUGAGAACAUCCAUGCAAGCCUGCCUAAAGAAG